rnacentral:lncRNA from 1 species
GGAUUUCACUGUGCUGAACACGGACACUCAUUUAAAAGUUUCCAGGUGCAUAAAAACCAAGAAAAACUAAAGUGAACAACAUGUAUGAACUUUUGACACUAUAAAGAGGAGAACACAAUUGAGAAAUCCAAGGGAUUUUACGAAACACCUUUUAGAAGCAAGCAGAAACUCCUGUUUUUCCAAGUUCUUGCCUGUGAACACUGCAGUGAAGGCACAGC